GCUUAUACAUUCUGACUUAUUUUGACAUUUUGUCUUUUUAGGGGCAAGAGACCAAAUGGAGCACGUUUUCUCAGAAGCAGUGAUCAUAGUCAUUAUCUUUGGGGUGAUGGCUACUAUCAUCCUGGUCGUACUGCUCCUUGCUCAUGGCAUCCGCAAACUGAGGGAGAGAAGUGCUGUUACCAUACAAACUGAGUUCCCACAAAACGCAGAGGAGCCUUUAAGCUCCGUAGAAACAGGAAAUCCAGAACAAUAAUGAAUGAUACAUUGCUCACCAUGCCAAACUUUGAAAGAACUAGAAGACAAGAAACUUCAGUCAAGUGAAAAAUUAAUGUGUAAAUUGAACACGUUAAUAAAUUGUAGACACCCUUAGAUUGUUCAAUUUCAGGAAGAAAAUUUCAUCCUGAAGAGUCCAGUGACUCAGUGAUGGAAAAAAGCCUCUAGUCAUUAAUAUUUCAAAAAGAAGAACAAGUAUUUUCUUUCAUGCCUGCUUCUGUGUGUUAGCUUAAUGUUUCCAGGUCACGGGUUCAGAGUUCUGAUCCAAAGGCUUGUGAUUCACAAAUGAAAUCUAAAUUCUCUUCUCAUCCUAAACUUCUGAGUCUAUUUUCAUUUCUUUAAACAAAUGAAAUCCUAUCAUUUCCUUCAUUUCUGAAUAGAUAAGAUAUGGUAAUACACUAGUGAGGAUGAUAUUCUUAGUCACAAUAAUAAAGUGUGUUAUUGGAAAUGCUCUGCAUAUGUACACACAUGCAUACAUGUAAGUACACAUUUGUACAUGUGCAUAGACACAGAUAUAGACAUAGAUGUAUAAAAUGACACUUGCAUUCACCCUCUCAUGCAUAAAUCAAUACAAAAUUUUUUUCCAUUAAAAAGAAGUAAAAUGGCCCUGGCUGGUGUGGCUCAGUGGAUUGAGUGCUGGCCUGUGAACCAAAGGGUCGCUGGUUCGAUUCCCAGUCAGGGCACGUGCCUGGGUUGUGGGCCAGGUCCCCAGUGGGGGGGUGCAUGAAAGGCAAGGACACAUUGAUGUUUCUCUCUCUUUCUCCCUCCCUUUCCCUCUCUAAAAAUAAAUAAAUAAAUUUUAAAAAAAGAAGCAAGAUGUUAAAUGGCUCAUUUAAACGCAUCUGACAUUAUGGCAUCGUGUUCUCCAGGCUGCUGACUGAUGCAUCUGUUGUGUUCCCCUAGAAGAGUAAUUCAUGCAAAUGGCUAGAGAACCCUGAGAGACAGGAAGAACGAUGUUUUCUUGCUAACCCCCCCCCCCCCAGUAACUCUGUAAAUGCAACAAGAGGUGCCGGCUGGACGUGUGGGUGAAUAUUUGAACAGGUCUCCAUUACGCUGUUUUCUAAUGUUCUCAGUCAAUUGCUUUAAUCCGUCCAGUCCUAGACUUCCUCACUAGUAAAGCUUUGGAAGUUGGUUUGAAUACUCUAAGAGACACUUCUAGCUGUGAGCCUAAGGCUCUGUGCUCUGCCGCUCACUCAUCGGCUGUGAAACGUAAAAAGCGGUGUAAAAACAGAGCCGCGCCUUCCUGUGUCACUCUCUCUUCUUACUGAUAAAAGCCCACACAGCUCUUCCUUGUUGGACGAUAAUUAAGUGAAUAAUAUCAUGUUCUCGUCUGGGCCUGGCAACUGAAAUUCAUU